rnacentral:rRNA from 1 species
UACACUCCUGCGGGAGGCAGCAGUGGGGAAUUUUGGACAAUGGGCGAAAGCCUGAUCCAGCAAUGCCGCGUGAGUGAAGAAGGCCUUCGGGUUGUAAAGCUCUUUUGUCAGGGAAGAAACGGUGAAAGCUAAUAUCUUUUGCUAAUGACGGUACCUGAAGAAUAAGCACCGGCUAACUACGUGCCAGCAGCCGCGGUAAUACGUAGGGUGCAAGCGUUAAUCGGAAUUACUGGGCGUAAAGCGUGCGCAGGCGGUUUUGUAAGUCUGAUGUGAAAUCCCCGGGCUCAACCUGGGAAUUGCAUUGGAGACUGCAAGGCUAGAAUCUGGCAGAGGGGGGUAGAAUUCCACGUGUAGCAGUGAAAUGCGUAGAUAUGUGGAGGAACACCGAUGGCGAAGGCAGCCCCCUGGGUCAAGAUUGACGCUCAUGCACGAAAGCGUGGGGAGCAAACAGGAUUAGAUACCCCAGUAGUCCCAUGA